CUGCAGUUACCAUCCUCAAAUACAAAAGUAAUUGAUAAGCUGCAUGUGCAUGUAGGGGAGAGAAGGAGGUUUCACCAGACUGACAAAUGGAGUCAUGGUUCUGGGAAGGAGCAGGGUGUUGGGUGCACAUUUGUCACCUGGGAAUACUACCAGCA
rnacentral:lncRNA from 1 species